rnacentral:rRNA from 1 species
UACAGAGGUGGCUAGCGUUGUUCGGAAUUACUGGGCGUAAAGGGCGCGUAGGCGGCUUGGUCAGUCCCGUGUGAAAUCCCUCGGCUCAACUGAGGAACUGCACGGGAAACUGCCUGGCUUGAGUUCGGGAGAGGGAAGCGGAAUUCCGGGUGUAGCGGUGAAAUGCGUAGAUAUCCGGAGGAACACCGGUGGCGAAGGCGGCUUCCUGGACCGACACUGACGCUGAGGCGCGAAAGCUAGGGGAGCAAACAGG